rnacentral:lncRNA from 13 species
AGGAAGAAAUAGCGGAACGGAACAGUUACGGAAAGGAGAUAUGGUGGGAGGUCAGCCAAUCAGAGCAAUUCCGUUUCAGUUCCGUUCCGAUUUUUGACGACUGGGCUCCCCACGUAUGAAUGUUUGACGUAACGGAAUUAAAACGGAAAAAUUAACCUCACUUUCGUGAAAUGUUUUCGUAGACAACACGUGUCCCAAGUGAGAAACAAAUUUAAAAAAAAGUUUUUUGUCGAUUGUAUCAGUAUUUUUAUGUUCAAGGAGCAUGUCGUCAUUGGACAGAUUUAAAUGUGGUUACUGUGGCUGGGCUGUUUAGCGUUACAAAAAUGAAAGAAUUUCUCACAGUUGCCUUGCAAACUGUGACUUAUUCAUGGAUAACAAUAGAAACCUCUUUAUAGAUGAGACACAUUUGCAUAAGACAGAUAGCAACACUGCCAUUGAAAUACUGCUGAUAAAGAAAAUAUUGCUGAGAAUUUUGAAAGCACUGCCCACGAUAAUGUAAUAGAAAACGUAGACGAAGAUUUAAUAGCUACAGUAAAAGAGAGACCAGCCCUGUAUGACUAUCGAAUACCCGUAAAGGAACG